CGUCCGGAGGCUGAAAUACGCGUCCUGUUCGGACCUCUUGGCGCCUCGACGGAAAAAACAGGAAACGUUGCUAGAGGGAGGUGGCGGGGGGAGCUUCAACUCUCCCCUCUCCUCCUCCUCCCGGGCAACACCGCACUGACCUCAGAUCAGGCAAGACUACCCGCUGAGUUUAAGCAUAUCACUAAGCGGAGGA
rnacentral:rRNA from 1 species